rnacentral:sRNA from 1 species
CUUUGAAAUCCCAGUAAUGUCUUAUAUAUGGUGGGAACACAAGAAAUAUUUGUUGGAUGCAUUUACUUGGAAGGGAAAUGUUAAUUGUUUUGCUGUAGUACAUCAUCUUGUAGUCAGCAUUUCUGGGUUCGAUUUUUGCAUGAAAACAUGUGUUUAUGUGUGCCUAGUCCCUAAAUACCAUGAAGAUUUACAUUGCCUUAUGCAACUGGAUAUUUUCCAAAUGUAGACUGUUCUUUGUUAGCUCUAUAUGAGGUCAGAAAAGAAAAACAAUAAUAAAGGAAACAAAAUUGCUUUUCUUGUCCAGGACUUUUUUUAUGAAGACAUGGAGUCCUUGACGCAGAUGCUUAGGGCCUUGGCAACAGAUGGAAAUAAACACCGGGCCAAAGUGGACAAGAGAAAGCAGCGGUCAGUUUUCAGAGAUGUCCUGAGGGCAGUGGAGGAACGGGAUUUUCCAACAGAAACCAUUAAAUUUGGUCCUGAACGCAUGUAUAUUGAUUGCUGGGUAAAAAAACACACCUAUGACACCUUUAAGGAGGUUCUUGGAUCAGGGAUGCAGUACCACUUGCAGUCAAAUGAAUUCCUUCGAAAUGUAUUUGAACUUGGACCCCCAGUGAUGCUUGAUGCUGCAACGCUUAAAACGAUGAAGAUUUCUCGUUUCGAAAGG